rnacentral:rRNA from 1 species
CGGCUCCCGCUAUUGGAUGAGCCUAUGUCGGAUUAGCUAGUUGGUGAGGUAAAGGCUCACCAAGGCGACGAUCCGUAGCUGGUCUGAGAGGAUGAUCAGCCACAUCGGGACUGAGACACGGCCCGAACUCCUACGGGAGGCAGCAGUGGGGAAUAUUGGACAAUGGGGGCAACCCUGAUCCAGCCAUGCCGCGUGUGUGAAGAAGGCCCUCGGGUUGUAAAGCACUUUCAGCGAGGAAGAACGCCUGUCGGUUAAUACCCGGUAGGAAAGACAUCACUCGCAGAAGAAGCACCGGCUAACUCCGUGCCAGCAGCCGCGGUAAUACGGAGGGUGCAAGCGUUAAUCGGAAUUACUGGGCGUAAAGCGCGCGUAGGUGGCUUGAUAAGCCGGUUGUGAAAGCCCCGGGCUCAACCUGGGAACGGCAUCCGGAACUGUCAGGCUAGAGUGCAGGAGAGGAAGGUAGAAUUCCCGGUGUAGCGGUGAAAUGCGUAGAGAUCGGGAGGAAUACCAGUGGCGAAGGCGGCCUUCUGGACUGACACUGACACUGAGGUGCGAAAGCGUGGGUAGCAAACAGGAUUAGAUACCCUGGUAGUCCACGCCGUAAACGAUGUCGACCAGCCGUUGGGUGCCUAGCGCACU